rnacentral:lncRNA from 1 species
UUUUCUUCUGGCCUACUCCCAUAUAUGCACCUUCUCUGUAAUAAGAUAUCUCAUUUGCUUAAUUCUAUAAUACAUCCAAAGCAGCUUUAGAAUUUCUUCAAAAUACUUUAAUACUUUUAUGUUGACUAGUAUCAAACUAGUAUCAAGUUGACAAACUUGACUAGUAUCCAUGAGGAUACAGGUUGGAUCCCAGCCUCGCUCAGUGGGUUAAGGAUCCAGUGUGGCCAUGAAGGUCACAGAGGCAGCUCGGAUCUGGUGUUGCUGUGGCUGUCAUGUAGGCCGGCAGCUAUAACUCUGAUUGGACCCCUAGCCUGGGAACCUCCAUAUGCUGCAGAUGAGGACCUAAAAAGACCAAAAAAUCAAAAAUAAAGCUGAAUGCAAAUUGUCAACUAAAUAGAACAAUGGAGCUCUAAUGAUAAAUAUGAUAAACACAAAAGUUUUAAUUCAAUGUUAUGAAUAACAUUUGUAUUUUUAUAUUGGCCUCGGCAUAAUUUUGUUUUUGACAGCAUCUUUUGCAAUCUUAGUUUAUACUUAAUUACAUGGAUCCAAAGGCUUAAAAGAGGAGUAAUAGUGUUUCACUAGCAAUUACUAGCAAUAUCCAACAUUAGGAAUUUCUUACCAUGAAUAUAAAACUCAAAUAAUUCCAACAUAAAUUAUGCAAUGCAAGUGUCAAUUAUAACAUAUGAUCUGAAAGCAAUAUGUUUCCUGUUGGCUUGUUAUUGAACCAUUGGUUGUGUUUCUUUGACAAGGCCAUUUGCCAGAUAUGUCUGUGCCUGAGCCUUGCCUAGAAUGUCACUGAGCAGAGCACUCAGAGGCUGCAGCAAACAGCUCACAUGGGCAGACAUAAACUGGUCUGAACUCCAAAAAUUAAUACUGAUGAAGAGAUAUAAACAUCAAGGUCCCAAAGAUUUUUGAGGAAAGGAACACUUACUUUUAUAUCCCUAUAGAAUUUAGCAUGCUACAUCUAGUUGUUGUUUUAUACUAUCUUGUAAGUUUUUUCAAGUGUCUGCAAUUUGUAUCCACCAAAGAUUUUAAGAUUCUUGAAUGCAGAAACUCUAUAUGUACCUAUAUGCACACACACAUAUAUAUGUGAUGAAAUAGUGGCAGGAUCCCCAAACAGACAUCCCCCUAGUCUUUGCCCCUAUUGCUACUUCCCUUGGCUCACCUUACUCUACCAGCAUGUUGAGUCAAUAGAAUUAUGGUGAGAAUAUUAUGGCUGGAGCAUUAUCUUAGGAUCACAGCUCUGUCUCCUCUUCUCAUCCAUUAUACCAAGAUACAUCGUCCCAACCUUUCUAUAGAAGUUCUGCUUCUCCAGUCUUGUCAAGUGCUCAGCUAAUCUUUGCCAAGAAGGGCAGGAUUUCUGAGGUAUAUAUUACAUGUAGAUAAGGAAAAGAAGUUAAGCAAAUUAUACUGGACAUAGUAUUUAACUUUAUCUUAAAUAUGGGGUAACUUAUUCCCAAAGAUUGUUUUAAUAACUAAAUUUGUUAUUACAUACAAAAUGCUUAGAAUAGUACCUGGCAAGUAGAAAGCUCAGAAUAUGUUAGCUAUUAUUAUGUAUAGAAUGCCUACUAUGUGCCCAAUGCUUUACUGGGUCCUUCAAUACAAUUUCAUUUAACUAAAGUGUAUUCCACCAUUACUCAGAUUCUCAUAAAGGAACAAUAUUGAAACUAAUACUUGCUUAAUUAAGAUUUACUGAACAUACAAGUGAAUGAAUGAAGAAUGAAGCAGUUCUUUCUAGCCGUUCUUCUGUCAUUUCUUUCCUUUUCUACACCUUAGAUCUGGAUGAAGUGAAAGGACAGGCCAAAGCUUACUUUUGCUUUUUGGAGUGCAAGGUCUUGGAGCUUUUGACUGUGCGUUUUGUGUCAUGGUCAACAUUCGACCAUUCACAGUGAUGCUUGUUUCACUUCCAAUGCAGCACCCACGUCUUGCAUAUGAUAUUUACUCUCCUAAGAAGCAGCCUGAAACACUGAAGCAGAUGCUCUGUGUGUAGCUUCACCUAACUGUGCCAGGGUUUCAGCUUUCAGAUUGGAAAUAAAGUAAAAUUAUGCACAAGGUUGGCAGGUGGGAGUGAGGCAGAGAGGGAGAAGGGAGAAUUUUGGCCUAGCUCUGAAGAGAUACAGGGCUUUAUAAGAGCUCACCAACAUAAAGAAUUGAACAGAAUGUUGCCAAAACUAGGCUGCCUGCAAAUGCCAAAUAAUAAGAAUCCUUUAUCAGGAACACUAGGAACCCUUUCAGGAGAGAAGCAAAAAGAAUUCCAGGAAGCACAUAUUCAAAGCCCGUUUCCUAGGCAGCUGAAGCCACCCACCUUCCCUUGAACAAAUGGAGCCAAAUUCAGUUCUCAAAUGUACCAUUUGCCUUGCCUUUCAAAACAAUCCUGAGAGUUCAGCUGGUAUCUUUUGCUUUCUGAAAGGAGCCUGUAAGAGAUGGGUUUGAUGCUACUCUCUAUCUGGUCAUAGGAAAGUCUUUAAUUCCAAGCCCUGUCUCCCAGCUGGCUCACCUCAGCCUUGGGCCCACCUCUGUGACAGCCUCAAGCUGUGUUGUCACUCCAUUGACUGUGGAAAUAAAACAUGGCAGCUGAUCUCUUUCAGCUCUUUGACGUUCUUGGUGAAGGAAUAGAGCAAUUCAACUAUUGCUGGUUUCUGGGCCCUGACCUGAAGCUUUAAAACUGGAUUUAGUUGCAAAUGAGAUAAGGAAACAGAUUUGGGGAAAGAAAUGAUAGUUUGCUUAAAUAAUUAUAGCAAGUCUAUGUGACAAAAUAUUAUACAUAGCUAUUAAGAAACAUGCUGUGUGAGAGGAAUUAAUUAUAUUGAGGAAAGGUCCAGGAUAAAUAACUUUUUUUAAGGUCAUACCUGUGGCAUAUGGAAAUUCCCAGGCUAGGGGUGGAGUUGGAGCUAUAGCUGCCGGCCUAUGCCAUUGCCAUAGCAACACCAGAGCCAAGCCACAUCUGUGACCUAUACCAUAGCUCACAGCAAUACCAGAUCAUUAACCCACUGAGUGAGGCCAGAGAUCAAAUCCGUACCUUCAUGGAUACUAGUCAGGUUCCUUACCACUGAGCCACAAUAGGAAAUCCCAGAAUAAUGAGUAACUUUUUUUUUUUUUUUGGUCUUUUUUGCCCUUUCUAGGGCCAAUCCCACAGCAUAUGGAGGUUCCCAGGCUAGGAGUCUAAUUGGAGCUGUAGCUGUAGCCACCGGCCUACACCAGAGCCAUAGCAACGCCAGAUCUGAGCUGCGUCUGCAACCUACACCACAGCUUAUGGCAAUGCCAGAUCCUUAACCCACUAAGCAAGGCCAGGGAUAGAACCCACAACCUCAUGGUUCCUAGUCGAAUUCAUUAACCACUGAGCUAUAAUGGGAACUCCCCCAUGAAUAACUUUUAAUUCCUUCUUUUUCUUUUAUUUGAAAUUUUACAUAAUGAACACAUAUUUAAUUUUAGUCAUGAAAUGUAUAUUAAUGUAAGACUAAAAUGGGUAUAAAAAAAGAAAUGUGCAAGUUGGAUGAGAGCAGAGUGAGGUUACAACCACAGCAUUUUCCUGAUCUCACCUCCCUCAUCUCUCCACUGCCAUUACCUGUAUCUCAAAUUUACAAGUUAACAUUUUAUUAUACAUUGUCCCAGGACUCUGAUGAUUCCUUGAAAGCAUAACAUGUUUCCCCAGGAUUGUGUAUUAUUCUCCUCUUGCUCACAAAUCUCCACCUUCAACCAUCCAGCAUAGAGCUAUACACACGGCAAGUAUACUAUUGAAUGGUCCAGUGUGGGGGGGCCAAUCAAUGUGAGGAUGGAGAGUAUGUUAAGAGGUGCUAAGAAAAGGUGAGUCAAAUGGCCCAAGAUUGGACAGGUACAUGGAUAAGCAAUCAUUUUCAUUCCUAAUUUUUUAUUCCCUGUGAAAGAAAUGAGGGGAAGCAAGGAGAUCUUCAAA